AAUUGUAUCUAAACCAACCUAAACACAUUUUAAACUCAAAGACACCCAAAUUUUAACCUAAAAUUCAUCAAAAUCUCAUUUUCAAGCAAUUUAGGGACUUCAACAAGUCCCAAUUGACUUACUAACACCCUCCCAACUGACCAAUUGAACACAUGACCCAAAAUUCAACUUUCACUAGUUCAAACCCCCUUUAAACUAAUCGUAAACCCAACUUAACUCUACUUAUCAACUACCAAACCUUCUAACAUCAUAUUUCCUCCAUUCCAAUACUUAAACAAGUCAUAACACACCCCAUAACAGACUCCAAAUACUUCAAACCAGUUUACCAUCCCUUUUCUCCUAUUUUCAUUACCUAAAACUCCAUUUUUCCUUCAAAACACAACCAAGACACCUAAGUUUUCAAAUCUUUAUUCUCUAAACUUCACAACACACAUUCCAAACAGAAUUAUAACACAUUAGCAUCAAAUUUCCAUAUCAAAACAUCAUCCAAUACUCUUCACAACAACCAUUCAUCAUCACAUACUCAAAACACUCAAUUAAUUAAGUUAUAACUAGCAGAUAACAGGAUUUUCACCCAAAUCAAUUUAAUACUCGUAUAAUCUUCCAACUUACACUACAAACAUCAAUUAAACAUCAAUCUAUCUUCCCUUACCUCUAGACAACUUCUACCAUUCUAGAAAUCCCGACCG
rnacentral:lncRNA from 1 species